GGGGAAGUAGCUCAAUGGUAGAGCAAAAAAUUAUCAAAUUUUCUUAGGAUGUUAAUGUUUCAUGCGAAACAAGGUUUGAGGUUCGAAUCCUCGCUUCUCCA
rnacentral:tRNA from 1 species